CCCCGGAUGGUGGAAUGGUAGACACGCUAGUUUCAGGUACUAGAGUUCGAAAGGACGUGCAAGUUCAAGUCUUGUUCCGGGGA
rnacentral:tRNA from 1 species